rnacentral:rRNA from 1 species
CAAAAACAUUUCUUAAUGUGAUAAUAUUAAGUAUAACCUGCUCAAUGAAAUAAAUAAAUAGCCGCAGAAAAUUUACUGUGCUAAGGUAGCAUAAUCAUUUGUCUUUUAAUUAAAGACUAGUACGAACGGUUCAACAUUUAAAUAAUUUUUUUUACUAUAAAAUUUAAAUUUAAAAUUAAGCAUAAAAAUUUGCUUAUAAAUAUAAAUGACGACAAGACCCUAUCGAACUUAACUGUUGUUAAGCUGGGGAAGCCAAAUAAUAAUAAUUUUAUUAAUUUUAUAUAAAUAAAUACCUAAUUCUAAAUAAAUUUAAUCAAGUUACCGUAGGGAUAACAGCGUAAUAAAUUUCUAAAGCUCUCAUUUAAAAAAAAGAUUACGACCUCGAUGUUGAAUUAAUUUUUCCUAUUAACGCAAUUGCUAAAACAGGUAAGUCUGUUCGACUUUUAAAAAAUUACAUGAUCUGAGUUCAAACCGG